CUCCAUCACCUUGCCCGGUUGGUCGCCCAGCACCAGGCGUCUCCUCGCUAGCCAUUGUUACAGGAGGACAGGUGGCGUUAACAGUCCAUGCAGUGGAACAUUGACAGCUGUAAUGCAACCGGAGGUGAUAGAAACCAGACAUUAAAACGAUGUGACAGCGAUGCUUCUCCUGCCUCUUCCAGUCACUGACCCAUGUUGCAAGAAAGGCAUUGCACUGUAAUUGUGCACGUGACAUUAAAACUUGAAACUUGUUUAAGACGUUUAUGAGACCAAAUAGAUACAUUGUCAGAUAGAUUUAUAUUUAAUUUAGCCUACGUAUAUUGAACAGCCUAUGUAUGAUUGAAAUGUAAUCAAAGAUCAAAUGCAAUGUAUUUGAACAAAGAUCGUUAUUGCAUUAUAAGGAUGUGUGUCUCCUCUCAUCUCCUAGGAGGCUCUGAUACAGGAUGACUUCAGUUGCUCAGUGGGAUGUGGGAUGGCUCCCAGUCCUAGGCUGCAUCCUAAAUGGCACAAUAUUCCCUAUAUAGUGCACUACUUUUGACCAGGGCCCAUAAGGCUCUCGUCAAAAGGAGUGCACUGUGUGGGGAAUAAUGUGCCAUUUUAGGACGCAGUUCUAGUGCUGUUGCCAAGGAGUCAGGCAGCGCCACAAUUCUUUUGACCUCACAAGCAGUCCCUCUCCCUGGGGACACUGGGACACAAGGCAGUCAGUUGAGUUCCAGCAUCAGACAGAGGAUGCGUCCCAAAUGGCACCCUGUUCCUUUUAAUGUGCACUACAUUUGACCAGAGCCCAAAUGGGGAAUAGGGGGCUCUGUUUAAAAGAAGUGCACUGUAAAGGGAAUAGGUUUCCAUUUGGGACGUAGACAAAGUCAAGGUUGGUCUCAGUAGCAGUGACCUGAAAUAUAAGUGCUUACUACAGUGCAAUGCUUUAAUUUACAUGCAGGCUACGUUGAGUGUGUUCAAGUCAAGACACUUUUGCACUGACUUACCUGGGGUAACCUACAAAAUGAAAGUAAGAGAGAGUGUUGAUAUAGUAACUUUUAUUUCAUAGUGGGCUGUUGAACUGCAACCUUGAUGAUGUAAAUUAAAUACACAUUUAAUUUACAACAUUUUCUUGUUUUGUCUUUUGUGUUCCACAGCGCAUUAAUGAAUUCAGCUACUCACACAGCUUUGUGUCAAAGUCCUAUCAUCUUUUGAUUGGAUGAACAUUCAUUAUAUCCUUCCAAAUCAAUACCUGAGGAAAAUAUAUAUUUUUUAAAUCUCCUGAACAAAUAAAGGCUGCUAAAACCAUACGGUUCGAACACACA